UACAGAGGUCUCAACCGUUGUUCGGAUUUAUUGGGCGUAAAGGGUGCGUAGGCGGUUGCGUAAGUCAGGUGUGAAAUCUCGGGGCUCAACUUCGAAACUGCACUUGAUACUGCGCGACUAGAGUACUGGAGAGGAGACUGGAAUUUACGGUGUAGCAGUGAAAUGCGUAGAUAUCGUAAGGAAGACCAGUGGCGAAGGCGAGUCUCUGGACAGUUACUGACGCUGAGGCACGAAGGCUAGGGGAGCAAACGGG
rnacentral:rRNA from 1 species